GCCUUUAUAGCUCAGUUGGGAGAGCACCAGACUGAAGAUCUGGUUGUCCCCGGUUCAAGUCCGGGUGAAGGCA
rnacentral:tRNA from 1 species